UAGAGUUUGGAUCUGGCUCAGGACGAACGCUGGCGGCGUGCCUAAUACAUGCAAGUCGUACGCUUCUUUUUCCACCGGAGCUUGCUCCACCGGAAAAAGAAGAGUGGCGAACGGGUGAGUAACACGUGGGUAACCUGCCCAUCAGAAGGGGAUAACACUUGGAAACAGGUGCUAAUACCGUAUAACAAUCGAAACCGCAUGGUUUUGAUUUGAAAGGCGCUUUCGGGUGUCGCUGAUGGAUGGACCCGCGGUGCAUUAGCUAGUUGGUGAGGUAACGGCUCACCAAGGCCACGAUGCAUAGCCGACCUGAGAGGGUGAUCGGCCACAUUGGGACUGAGACACGGCCCAAACUCCUACGGGAGGCAGCAGUAGGGAAUCUUCGGCAAUGGACGAAAGUCUGACCGAGCAACGCCGCGUGAGUGAAGAAGGUUUUCGGAUCGUAAAACUCUGUUGUUAGAGAAGAACAAGGAUGAGAGUAACUGUCAUCCCUGACG
rnacentral:rRNA from 1 species